AUUGAACGCUGGCGGCAUGCCUUACACAUGCAAGUCGAACGGCAGCACGGGAGCAAUCCUGGUGGCGAGUGGCGAACGGGUGAGUAAUAUAUCGGAACGUGCCCGGUCGUGGGGAUAACGUAGCGAAAGCUACGCUAAUACCGCAUACGAUCUACGGAUGAAAGCGGGGGGUCGCAAGACCUCGCGCGAUUGGAGCGGCCGAUAUCAGAUUAGGUAGUUGGUGAGGUAAAGGCUCACCAAGCCGACGAUCUGUAGCUGGUCUGAGAGGACGACCAGCCACACUGGGACUGAGACACGGCCCAGACUCCUACGGGAGGCAGCAGUGGGGAAUUUUGGACAAUGGGCGCAAGCCUGAUCCAGCAAUGCCGCGUGCAGGAUGAAGGCCUCGG
rnacentral:rRNA from 1 species